CUGGGACAAGCCCUGGAAACGGGGUCUAAUACCGGAUAACACUCUGUCCUGCAUGGGACGGGGUUAAAAGCUCCGGCGGUGAAGGAUGAGCCCGCGGCCUAUCAGCUUGUUGGUGGGGUAAUGGCCUACCAAGGCGACGACGGGUAGCCGGCCUGAGAGGGCGACCGGCCACACUGGGACUGAGACACGGCCCAGACUCCUACGGGAGGCAGCAGUGGGGAAUAUUGCACAAUGGGCGAAAGCCUGAUGCAGCGACGCCGCGUGAGGGAUGACGGCCUUCGGGUUGUAAACCUCUUUCAGCAGGGAAGAAGCGAAAGUGACGGUACCUGCAGAAGAAGCGCCGGCUAACUACGUGCCAGCAGCCGCGGUAAUACGUAGGGCGCAAGCGUUGUCCGGAAUUAUUGGGCGUAAAGAGCUCGUAGGCGGCUUGUCACGUCGGAUGUGAAAGCCCGGGGCUUAACCCCGGGUCUGCAUUCGAUACGGGCUAGCUAGAGUGUGGUAGGGGAGAUCGGAAUUCCUGGUGUAGCGGUGAAAUGCGCAGAUAUCAGGAGGAACACCGGUGGCGAAGGCGGAUCUCUGGGCCAUUACUGACGCUGAGGAGCGAAAGCGUGGGGAGCGAACAGGAUUAGAU
rnacentral:rRNA from 1 species